rnacentral:rRNA from 1 species
UAGCGGCCGCCCAUUCGCCCUUGGAUCCAGACUUUGAUCCUGGCUCAGGACGAACGCUGGCGGCGCGCCUAACACAUGCAAGUCGAACGGAGUCAAGAGGAGCUUGCUUUUCUUGACUUAGUGGCGAACGGGUGAGUAACGCGUGAGUAACCUGCCCUGGAGUGGGGGACAACAGUUGGAAACGACUGCUAAUACCGCAUAAGCCCACGGCCCGGCAUCGGGCUGCGGGAAAAGGAUUUAUUCGCUUCAGGAUGGACUCGCGUCCAAUUAGCUAGUUGGUGAGGUAACGGCCCACCAAGGCGACGAUUGGUAGCCGGACUGAGAGGUUGAACGGCCACAUUGGGACUGAGACACGGCCCAGACUCCUACGGGAGGCAGCAGUGGGGGAUAUUGCACAAUGGGGGAAACCCUGAUGCAGCGACGCCGCGUGGAGGAAGAAGGUUUUCGGAUUGUAAACUCCUGUCGUUAGGGACGAUAAUGACGGUACCUAACGAGAAAGCACCGGCUAACUACGUGCCAGCAGCCGCGGUAAAACGUAGGGUGCAAGCGUUGUCCGGAAUUACUGGGGGUAAAGGGAGCGCAGGCGGACCGGCAAGUUGGAAGUGAAAACUAUGGGCUCAACCCAUAAAUUGCUUUCAAAACUGCUGGCCUUGAGUAGUGCAGAGGUAGGUGGAAUUCCCGGUGUAGCGGUGGAAUGCGUAGAUAUCGGGAGGAACACCAGUGGCGAAGGCGACCUACUGGGCACCAACUGACGCUGAGGCUCGAAAGCAUGGGUAGCAAACAGGAUUAGAUACCCUGGUAGUCCAUGCCGUAAACGAUGAUUACUAGGUGUUGGAGGAUUGACCCCUUCAGUGCCGCAGUUAACACAAUAAGUAAUCCACCUGGGGAGUACGACCGCAAGGUUGCAACUCAAAGGAAUUGACGG